rnacentral:misc_RNA from 1 species
CUACAAUAACCUAUUUUUGGGUUCAAACCUCCAACUGAGGCAGAAUAACAUCUUGGAGAGCUACAAGCUUCGCUUGACCACCAUACUCUUCAGGCAAGGAUUCUUCACCAAUUUCCUUCAUAAAAUCUUUUCUUUCUUCUUCAUUGCUGACUAUAACAAUCUUUUCCAGUGUUGCUUUCUCAAGGAAACGAGAAACCAUCCUCCAUACACUAACAAAGAACCAUGGCAUAUGUAAAAUGAAGAGCUUUGCUAAACGCUCAGGGUAGUAAGCCUGCAAAAAUUGAAAACCAAUGAUCAAACCACGUGCAUCAAUGUUCCUAUAUGUAAUUUGUUGCAGAUCGAGAAUGGCAAUCAACUUUUCAUUUCCUUUUUCUUUUCCUUUCAAUGAGCUUGCAAUUGUUUUGUCUAGCAAAUGAACCACAAACUUCUUGAAUUGUAGAUGAUCCUUUGCAGGCAAAUGCUUGCUUGCUUUGACAAUCAACAGUGGAUAUCCCUCUUUUGUUAAACUCUGCAAAUAUAUCUUCCUUGUUUGCAGCUCAUCUUGAACUUCAGAGUCUGCUAUAAACCCAUUAGGAACAAAUGCAGCCCUCCAUUUCUGCCACUGUACAAACAUCUUUGCUGCCUUUUCUGGGUCCAUUGACCUCGCAAUUAAGAAUCUCAUCAAUGUUGUGUCCCCAUAGCUCUCAGUUGAAGAACCAAGCUUCUCACUUGAUUUCCUCAUCUGGGUCACCGCAAUUUCUUGGGUUUUCUCCAUUUGAGGCAGUGGAGUCGAGUCUUGGUUGAAAAUAGAAGAAAAAAAGAGAGGGGGGGAUCGGCCCUCUCUCAAAAGGACCAAUUUUGUGAGUCCAAAACCUGCAACUUGGCAAGAGAGAAUCAAGCAAGGGAGAGAGAGCUUAUGGUGACAAAGUAGAACAAGGCGCAGGAAGCGUUACAGAAACAAGAAAGUGAGGCAUAGGAAAAUUAAACAAGGAUGAUUGGUUGGUAUUUUAGUUAAGGGAG